rnacentral:rRNA from 1 species
CCUACGGGAGGCAGCAGUGGGGAAUUUUGGACAAUGGGCGCAAGCCUGAUCCAGCAAUGCCGCGUGCAGGAUGAAGGCCUUCGGGUUGUAAACUGCUUUUGUACGGAACGAAACGGCGAGCUCUAAUAAAGUUCGCUAAUGACGGUACCGUAAGAAUAAGCACCGGCUAACUACGUGCCAGCAGCCGCGGUAAUACGUAGGGUGCAAGCGUUAAUCGGAAUUACUGGGCGUAAAGCGUGCGCAGGCGGUGAUGUAAGACAGAUGUGAAAUCCCCGGGCUCAACCUGGGACCUGCAUUUGUGACUGCAUCGCUAGAGUACGGUAGAGGGGGGAUGGAAUUCCGCGUGUAGCAGUGAAAUGCGUAGAUAUGCGGAGGAACACCGAUGGCGAAGGCAAUCCCCUGGACCUGUACUGACGCUCAUGCACGAAAGCGUGGGGAGCAAACAGGAUUAGAUACCCUGGUAGUCCACGCCCUAAACGAUGUCAACUGGUUGUUGGGUCUUCACUGACUCAGUAACGAAGCUAACGCGUGAAGUUGACCGCCUGGGGAGUACGGCCGCAAGGUUGAAAUCAAAGGAAUUGACGG